rnacentral:rRNA from 1 species
CACGUAGGGUGCGAGCGUUGUCCGGAAUUAUUGGGCGUAAAGAGCUCGUAGGCGGUGUGUCGCGUCGGCCGUGAAAACCUGCAGCUUAACUGUGGGCUUGCGGUCGAUACGGGCAUCACUGGAGUUCGGCAGGGGAGACUGGAAUUCCUGGUGUAGCGGUGAAAUGCGCAGAUAUCAGGAGGAACACCGAUGGCGAAGGCAGUUCUCUGGGCCGUAACUGACGCUGAGGAGCGAAAGCCAGGGGAGCGAACGGG